UACGUAGGGUGCAAGCGUUAAUCGGAAUUACUGGGCGUAAAGCGUGCGCAGGCGGUUAUGCAAGACAGAUGUGAAAUCCCCGGGCUCAACCUGGGAACUGCAUUUGUGACUGCAUAGCUAGAGUGCGGCAGAGGGAGAUGGAAUUCCGCGUGUAGCAGUGAAAUGCGUAGAUAUGCGGAGGAACACCGAUGGCGAAGGAAAUCUCCUGGGCCUGCACUGACGUUAAUGCCCGAAAGCGUGGGGAGCAACAGG
rnacentral:rRNA from 1 species